GCCGGGAUGGUCUAAUCGGUUAAGGCGUCGCCCCGGACAGGCGAAGGUUGCGGGUUCAAUUCCCGCUCUCGGCC
rnacentral:tRNA from 1 species